rnacentral:rRNA from 1 species
CUACGGGAGGCUCCAGUGGGGAAUAUUGGGCAAUGGGCGCAAGCCUGACCCAGCGACGCCGCGUGAGGGAAGAAUGUCUUCGGAUUGUAAACCUCUGUCCUUGGGGACGAAAAAAAUGACGGUACCCAAGGAGGAAGCUCCGGCUAACUACGUGCCAGCAGCCGCGGUAAUACGUAGGGAGCAAGCGUUGUCCGGAAUUAUUGGGCGUAAAGGGUGCGUAGGCGGCGCUGUAAGUCAGAUGUGAAAUCCCCGGGCUUAACUCGGGAGUUGCAUUUGAAACUACAGUGCUUGAGUAAAGAAGGGGUAAGUGGAAUUCCUAGUGUAGCGGUGGAAUGCGUAGAUAUUAGGAGGAACACCAGUGGCGAAGGCGACUUACUGGUCUUUCACUGACGCUGAGGCACGAAAGCGUGGGGAGCAAACAGGAUUAGAUACCCCCGUAGUC